GAGAUACCCUUAUGGGGCAGGACUUGCUUCAGUGGGGCUUUGGUGCUCACUGAGUCUGCCCCUUGAGUUUGUCACU
rfam:Myotis brandtii contig252038, whole genome shotgun sequence.